UGGGGAAUUUUGCACAAUGGGGGAAACCCUGAUGCAGCGACGCCGCGUGAUUUAGAAGGCCUUCGGGUUGUAAAAAUCUUUUUUAUGGGAUGAAAAUGACAGUACCAUAAGAAUAAGGUCCGGCUAAAUACGUGCCAGCAGCCGCGGUAAUACGUAUGGACCGAGCGUUGUCCGGAAUCAUUGGGCGUAAAGGGUACGUAGGCGGCCCAGUAAGUUAGAAGUUAAAGAAUAUAGCUCAACUAUAUAAAGCUUUUAAAACUGCUAGGCUUGAGAGAUGGAAGGGAAAGUGGAAUUCCUAGUGUAGCGGUGAAAUGCGCAGAUAUUAGGAAGAAUACCGGUGGCGAAGGCGACUUUCUGGUCAUCAUCUGACGCUGAGGUACGAAAGCGUGGGUAGCAAACAGG
rnacentral:rRNA from 1 species